AUUGAACGCUGGCGGCAUGGCUAAAACAUGCAAGUCGAACGCGAAGCUCCUUCGGGAGCGGGACGUGGCGAAAGGGCGAGGAAUACAUUCUUACGUACCCCAAGGUCGGGGAUAGCUGGGGGAAACUUCAGGUAAUACCCGAUGUGGUGCUUCGGCAUCAAAGGCUUGCCGCCUUGGGAGCGGAGAAUGUCCUAUCGGGUUGUUGGUGAGGUAACGGCUCACCAAGCCGAAGACGGGUAGCGGGUGUGAGAGCAUGACCCGCCGCAUCGGGACUGAGACACUGCCCGG
rnacentral:rRNA from 1 species